rfam:Triticum aestivum genome assembly, contig: Triticum_aestivum_CS42_TGACv1_scaffold_375628_5AL
CUGAGCAGAGGGAAUUUCCGAUGGAGCGGUGAAAUGCAUUGAGAUCGGAAAGAACACCAAUGGCGAAAGCACUCUGCUGG